AAAAUCCGUCGACUUUAAAAAUCGUGAGGGUUCAAGUCCCCAAGUCCCUCUAUCCCCA
rnacentral:tRNA from 1 species